GAAUACUCUGUAAAUUCAAGUUAUUGGUUAGCAUCAAGGGAGAAUUUGAAAGAGUACUGGACUGAGAAAAUGUUAAUCCUUCAAUUAAUUGCUUAAAGAAGCAUUAUGGAAUGUUCACAAACCUCCAAAGAUUUAAACCUUCAUGUGGAAAACAAUUUCUGCAGCCAUACCAAUAUCUUGAAGUCUUGCAAGCAGAGGAAUGAAGGUUGAUCCAAGAUGCAAUUUUUGUGGUUUUGAAGGUAAAU
rnacentral:lncRNA from 1 species